CAACUCUUAUGUUGAGUUGACACCAAUCAAAAUCAUUCAUUUAUUAUUUACUAUAGUAAAUAAUAAUUGAAUGAUUUUGAUUGGUGCCAACUAAACACGAGUAA
rnacentral:pre_miRNA from 1 species